rnacentral:lncRNA from 1 species
ACCUCUCCACCCUUUUUCUUUGGCUUGUCAUCCUCUUCGCCGGCGGCGACGUCGUGGCGGUGGUCCACCGUGAGCUCCGCCGUCUCGAGGGCCUCCCUCCACUCCCUGCCGCCCCUCCCUUUGUCGUCAAAGUACUUGACGGCCAUCCUCAUCCUUCUUAGUAUGGCAAAAAACUCUUCCACCUCCUCCUCCGUGGGAACACCAUCACUACCAUCUUCUUCUUCUACACCCUUUAAUCUCUUAUUCUUCACUCUUUCACUCUCUUCUUCCUCUCCCAUGACCCUCUUGUUCUUCCUCUUCUCCACUUCCAUAACGAUGAUGGUGACUCAGAUCCCACAAGGCCAAAUCACAAUUAAUAGCAUUAGCAAGGACUACAUACUAUACAGGGUUUUUUUGGUCCACGAGAUAUGAAUUAAUUUUUACCCUUUUUGUCACUUAGACGACUCAUUUUCU